GACGAACGCUGGCGGCGUGCUUAACACAUGCAAGUCGAGCGGUGAAGCGCCUUCCUUUUUGGUGGGUGUGGAUGAGUGGCGAACGGGUGAGUAACACGUGAGUAACCUGCCCCCUUCUUCUGGAUAACCGCAUGAAAGUGUGGCUAAUACGGGAUAUUCUGGGUCUGUCGCAUGAUGGGUCUGGGAAAGAUAUUGUUUCGGUGGGGGAUGGGCUCGCGGCCUAUCAGCUUGUUGGUGGGGUGAUGGCCUACCAAGGCGGUGACGGGUAGCCGGCCUGAGAGGGUGGACGGUCACACUGGGACUGCGACACGGCCCAGACUCCUACGGGAGGCAGCAGUGGGGAAUAUUGCACAAUGGGCGCAAGCCUGAUGCAGCGACGCCGCGUGAGGGAUGGAGGCCUUCGGGUUGUGAACCUCUUUCGCCAGUGAAGCAGGCCUGCCUCGUUUGUGGGUGGGUUGACGGUAGCUGGAUAAGAAGCGCCGGCUAACUACGUG
rnacentral:rRNA from 1 species